UACGGAGGAUGCGAGCGUUAUCCGGAUUUAUUGGGUUUAAAGGGUGCGUAGGUGGAUUGGUAAGUCAGUGGUGAAAGUUUGCAGCUUAACUGUAAAAUUGCCGUUGAAACUGCCGGUCUUGAGUGCAAAUGAGGUAGGCGGAAUGUGUCGUGUAGCGGUGAAAUGCAUAGAUAUGACACAGAACACCGAUUGCGAAGGCAGCUUACUGGGAUGCAACUGACACUGAUGCACGAAAGCGUGGGUAUCAAACAGGA
rnacentral:rRNA from 1 species